GAUUUUGGUUUUGAUUUGUUUGUGGAUUGUUGUUUAUUGAGUAUGAUGUGUAUUUCGGUAUCUAUAUUUUUGGGGCAUUACUGUAUGAUUAUUGGAUAUUCCAUUGGCUUCCAUGUUUAUAAAUUCAUUCAAAAUAAAGGAUGAAUGUGGAUUUAAGAUAAUAUUAACCAGAUCCAUAGAAAUUGGGGCAUUAUAGUGGUACAUAAAACAGAAAUUGUUCACAGCACUUCGUUUCUUCCAAACGUUCUGUUUUUCUGCGUUUUGAUUCCUCGCUUACUAAUUUCUCAACAAGCUGUCCCUCAUUUUCGUCAGCAGCCAAUCUUUUCCUUUUUUUGGAGCUCUUUUCUAGAAAAGUGGAUGCUUUGAUUACAGUUAUCAAUUGUCUCUUGUAAUAUCUGUGGAGUGGUUACUAUAAGUUUCAUAGUGGGACACAACAUUAUUAGCUUGUAGCUGUUGCUGUGGAUUCUCACAAUUAAAGAUUUGUUAUCUAAAAUUAACUAGAAAAACUAUCUAUCAGUUACUUGUUUUAGAAUAUGUGCGUGGCAAAGCCAGGGUUGUGUAGGCUUCUUUCCUGUACUUGACCGAAGGAGUUCUACUGCAGUCAUGGGAUUAGGUUUCUUUCUUGUACUUGACUGAAGUUGUUCUAAUGCAGUUGUGGUCUUCUAGUAAUCAAGGGACAUGAUAGUUUUUUUCGAUUGCAAUGGCAAUAGGUUUCUGUGGUGUAAGUUUUUCAUUCUAUCACUCAAGUUCUUUGUUAUGCAUAUUGUACUCGUACAAUGCAACAUUCAUUUUUCUCCCGAUAUAGAAUAUGUUGAAUUUGAGAAGGUCCAAUCUGAUUGACCUAUGUGGUGGAUUGCUGCCAAGCUAGCAGAUUUUCUGUUGAUUUAUUGUUUUAAGUCAAACUUCACAACUUGAGUUUUAUCAUAAGUGAGGUUGUCCAAGAUUGGUGAAUCUCCUGCUUAUGCGUGUGAAGGCCUCUCUUUUUUUCUGCACAGAAGAUGUAAUGAGAAAGCAGAAUUGGUUCAAAGAAGAUAAAGUCAAAGCAUUAUAAUAAGUUGGAGCUAGCACCCAGGAGGAGAGAGUCGGAUGUAACAUGGAGAACACUAGAUUAUUUCCUAUAAAUGCAACACUUGAAUUAUUGCUAAAUCUCAAGCAGCAAGGUGUGUCUACUAGCUAUUUUUUUCCAAAUUAAAGAGCCUAUAAUUUUGGGAUGAUAAUGAAAGGGUGUUGGAAAGAAUGUAAAAUCAGCAUAUAAAGGUUUCCUUUGACUCUCAGUUAUUUGCUAAAAUUGUACCGGUAAAGACGGGUGAAGAUCUUUAAAACUUUUAGAAUUUACUUUAAAACUAUCGAUUUUGAUGCAGGGUUGAAAUUCUUUACACUCAAUGAAUACAGCAUCCAAUUUGUGUUUUAUUUCAUCUACAUGAACUUGCAAAUUUCAUUGGCUUUUCUAGUAAGCUUCAAUUUUUGCAAAUGUGAAGACUGCUACUUGGUUUGUUUAGUUAUGAAAUUAACAAAAACGUUUAAUUUUCGAUUCUUUUUGGAGAUUUUACCUAGGGAUGUGAGAAUUUAACAAUGACACUGACACUGACACAAGGUUUGGAUUGCCAUCUUUCCCUUAAAAUGCUGUAGUUUCUGUUAUUGUUCAUAGCAUGCUUUUCAAGGAUUUACUAAUGAGAUUUAGCAGUUGUGCACAUGGUAUCCUCUAUUUAUGCUUCACGCUCAUCUAUUACCUUUCUUUAUAAAGGUGUGUGGUAUAACUCUUUCUCUAUUUGCCAGAUUUUUUUUUUAUUAUAAUUUCUUACCUGUCUAGCCUAUUCCAUGCUGGUUCAUAAUUUCUUAUCUUUCUAGCUUUUAUGGGGCCAUUGAAUUGUCUUUUUAAUUUUGAAAAUGUUUUGUUGAUGUUUUAAAAUUUCUUGAUCAUUUCUUAAUACCUUAAGAAAUAUUUUUUUCCAUGAGUCAUCGGUUUUUAUACUUAUGUGAAGUUUCCUUUGGCAUGCAGACAAGAAAUGCAACGCGGUUAGUUGCUUCAGCUAUUGUCGCGAGUUUAGGUGCCUUAACUCAUACAUUGGGUACCUUCGUCCCUGUGAUAGGAGCAAGUGGAUUUGCUACAGCUGCAGCUGCAACUGCUAUAGGAACUGUUGUCGGUAGUUUUAGAUAAUCUCUUAAUAGUUGUUGAUAUGUUUAGAAAAUUAAAUAUGCAUAGUUUUGGAUGGUUUAAACUUUUUGUACAGUUUAGAACUUAAGGAUAUAGUUUUCGAAUGUUUGGAAUGUA